rnacentral:rRNA from 1 species
GUGGGGAAUCUUGCGCAAUGGGGGCAACCCUGACGCAGCGACGCCGCGUGGAGGACGAAGUCUUUCGGGAUGUAAACUCCUGUCAGUGGGGACGAUAAUGACGGUACCCACAGAGGAAGCACCGGCUAACUCCGUGCCAGCAGCCGCGGUAAGACGGAGGGUGCAAGCGUUGUUCGGAAUUACUGGGCGUAAAGCGUAUGUAGGCGGCAAGUUAAGUUCAAUGUUAAAGCCCACGGCUCAACCGAGGAGAUGCAUUGAAUACUGGCUAGCUAGAGGGUGUUAGAGGAAGACGGAAUUCCCAGUGUAGCGGUGAAAUGCGUAGAUAUUGGGAGGAACAUCGGUAGCGAAAGCGGUCUUCUGGGACAUACCUGACGCUGAGGUACGAAAGCGUGGGGAGCAAACGGGAUUAGAAACCCCGGUAGUCC